rnacentral:rRNA from 1 species
GACGAACGCUGGCGGCGUGCCUAAUACAUGCAAGUCGAGCGCAGGAAACCGUCUGAACCCUUCGGGGGGACGACGGUGGAAUGAGCGGCGGACGGGUGAGUAACACGUAAAGAACCUGCCCAUAGGUCUGGGAUAACCACGAGAAAUCGGGGCUAAUACCGGAUGUGUCAUCGGACCGCAUGGUCCGCUGAUGAAAGGCGCUUCGGCGUCGCCCAUGGAUGGCUUUGCGGUGCAUUAGCUAGUUGGUGGGGUAAUGGCCCACCAAGGCGACGAUGCACAGCGGAACUGAGAGGGUGAUCGGCCACACUGGGACUGAGACACGGCCAAGACUCCUACGGGAGGCAGCAGGAGGGAAGCUUCCACAAUGGACGAGAGUCUGAUGGAGCAACGCCGCGUGAACGAUGAAGGCUUUCGGGUCGUAAAGUUCUGUUGUAAGGGAAGAACAAGUGCCGCAGGCAAUGGCGGCACCUUGACGGUACCUUGCGAGAAAGCCACGGCUAACUACGUGCCAGCCGCCACCGUAA